rnacentral:pre_miRNA from 1 species
AUCAGAUUUUUUUCUCCUGAUUUUUAGCAUUUUUAGUUGAAUUUGAAUUUUUUUAUAGGAAAUUGCUGAAAAUCAGGAGGAAAAAUCUUAU